rnacentral:rRNA from 1 species
GACGAACGCUGGCGGCGUGCUUAACACAUGCAAGUCGAACGGAAAGGCCCUGCUUUUGUGGGGUGCUCGAGUGGCGAACGGGUGAGUAACACGUGAGUAACCUGCCCUUGACUUUGGGAUAACUUCAGGAAACUGGGGCUAAUACCGGAUAGGAGCUCCUGCUGCAUGGUGGGGGUUGGAAAGUUUCGGCGGUUGGGGAUGGACUCGCGGCUUAUCAGCUUGUUGGUGGGGUAGUGGCUUACCAAGGCUUUGACGGGUAGCCGGCCUGAGAGGGUGACCGGCCACAUUGGGACUGAGAUACGGCCCAGACUCCUACGGGAGGCAGCAGUGGGGAAUAUUGCACAAUGGGCGGAAGCCUGAUGCAGCAACGCCGCGUGCGGGAUGACGGCCUUCGGGUUGUAAACCGCUUUCGCCUGUGACGAAGCGUGAGUGACGGUAAUGGGUAAAGAAGCACCGGCUAACUACGUGCCAGCAGCCGCGGUGAUACGUAGGGUGCGAGCGUUGUCCGGGUUUAUUGGGCGUAAAGGGCUCGUAGGUGGUUGAUCGCGUCGGAAGUGUAAUCUUGGGGCUUAACCCUGAGCGUGCUUUCGAUACGGGUUGACUUGAGGAAGGUAGGGGAGAAUGGAAUUCCUGGUGGAGCGGUGGAAUGCGCAGAUAUCAGGAGGAACACCAGUGGCGAAGGCGGUUCUCUGGGCCUUUCCUGACGCUGAGGAGCGAAAGCGUGGGGAGCGAACAGGCUUAGAUACCCUGGUAGUCCACGCUGUAAACGGUGGGUACUAGGUGUGGGGUCCAUUCCACGGGUUCCGUGCCGUAGCUAACGCUUUAAGUACCCCGCCUGGGGAGUACGGCCGCAAGGCUAAAACUCAAAGGAAUUGACGGGGCCCCGCACAAGCGGCGGAGCAUGCGGAUUAAUUCGAUGCAACGCGUAGAACCUUACCUGGGUUUGACAUGGAUCGGGAGUGCUCAGAGAUGGGUGUGCCUCUUUUGGGGUCGGUUCACAGGUGGUGCAUGGCUGUCGUCAGCUCGUGUCGUGAGAUGUUGGGUUAAGUCCCGCAACGAGCGCAACCCUUGUUCACUGUUGCCAGCACGUUAUGGUGGGGACUCAGUGGAGACCGCCGGGGUCAACUCGGAGGAAGGUGGGGAUGACGUCAAGUCAUCAUGCCCCUUAUGUCCAGGGCUUCACGCAUGCUACAAUGGCUGGUACAGAGAGUGGCGAGCCUGUGAGGGUGAGCGAAUCUCGGAAAGCCGGUCUCAGUUCGGAUUGGGGUCUGCAACUCGACCUCAUGAAGUCGGAGUCGCUAGUAAUCGCAGAUCAGCAACGCUGCGGUGAAUACGUUCCCGGG